CAUAAUUUGUAGAAAAAAGAUAUCUAUUAAUGAUGCUUCAAAAGGAGCAGAGCAAAUAGUAGCAAAAAGGUGUCCUGUCAUCACCAUGCUUCUGCUUUUGCAGACACAUAAAACCGUCUAACAUUUCUCUGCUCUAAUAGCCCAGAGUGUCAUGCAGAAGAGCACACAUAAAAAGAGACAUGGACAUCUUGCCUGUGACCCUCAGCAGUCAUAAACCAAAACUUCAAGAGAGAGGGCAAUGCCCAGAGCCGGAUAUGAGAGCCAGCGUGUCCCUUUAAAAGCUGCCAGCCAGAGCCAAACAGAGGGAAGGAAUGUUCUGGGGCCUUAACAAAACCAGAUGCCCCGGCUUACUCUCCCGCUCGCACACAUGCUCUCUCUGCAGCCUUCUCUCACUCAACACUCCACGAUCGCAGAUGAAUGCAAGAACCGGGCUGAAGUGCAUUGACUUCUGUUCUGUCCAUCUUUAACGCUGUCUGGCUCCUAGCGCCUAGUCUGUAACCCAAUCGUCUUAUCUUCUUGUCGGCUUCUCUUCACCUGUCUGUGCUUUAACUCUCCCCGCCUUCCCUCAGUCCAGCGACAUUAAUACCCACGCACAAGAGAAGCACAGAUGGAGAUUAUACCACUCUCUCCUGUACAUCCUCUUCAGACAGCACUGCCAGUACCUUACGCAUCACAACACUAGAUACAAGGGUCACGCCUUGACCUUGUAUGUUGUGUAGGUUAUUUUCAGGUCAGUGACUCGCCGCCUUGAUCCGCUCCCAGGGAAUCUCCUGUGAGUGAAUUAAGGGAUUGUUGAAGGAAGGAAGGAUGCAUGAGGCUUUAAGGAGACGCACCUACAAUGUGCCACACCUAUGCCACCAGACCCAGGUGAUGUGUACCUGUGCUGGAGCCAGCUGCUGUGCCAGCUGUGCAGGGUGAGGGUGAGCAAGUUGAGCAGCGUUUUAGAAGGAGAUGAGCAGACUGCUGCUGCAAACAGGGAGAUGGAGGAGCAUCAUCAAAGGAGCACCAAGUCAACCAUCAAUGAUAGGACAUUGAUUAUCAGACUACAGUUAUAUUACAUCAGAGGAACUAUUAUUAAGAGUUCAAAAUUGCAUACAAGGUCCUGAGUCUAAGCUUUUUUCUAAUCCUGUAACUUAAAAAAGGUUUUGUGGUUUACACAUUUUUUGAUUUUGAGACUUUUCACUCUUUAGUUUUUAAGCAGCUGCCAUUUUACUCUGACAUAAUGAUAAGGGUGGACUUUUGAAAAACUCAAGGGAUAUAUGGUCUUAUUUGAUGUUAAAAAAAACAAAUUCAGUUCAAUUUAUUAAGGUGGGACAACAGCUGACAUUAGCAUUGAGCGGCUAACUAGUUGAUAUGUACGUUAAACAGGGAGUAGCUAUAAGCUUUUAUCACUUUGUUGAUUAAUAGAGUGAAUUCCUCGCUAAUGUAAAGUUAGCCAAGAAAAGAUUCAAUGCUAAUAGCUGUUGUCUACAAGUAGCGUGGUUGUCAAAUAUGCUGUUUUACUCUGAGAUGUACAUGUUGACAAGUUGAUAUAGGGAUGUUAAACUGUCGAAUGACAAUCUAUAGAUCCCCUGUGUUUGUACGACUAAAAACUAGAACACAGAAGUUCACCAGAACAUUUGAGCUUCCCACCCUGAGCUUGACCAAUGGCGGGAGAGGUUAAAGACACUUAAACUAGAGCUCACGACUGAGGAAUGUUCAGAAUUGAAGACACAUGACGCAAACAGUCAAACAGACCAUAGUAUAGAAUACAGCAGUGUGUAAGGACGGAUGAGAGGGGGAAAAAAUGUCAUAGACACUGACAGAGACAGUGACGUGGCAGAAACGCUCAUUCAAGUACUGCUACACUUAUCCAUGGGGUCCUGUUCACUUUGUUUCACUUCAUCAGUGUAAAUGCUCCUAUUAAGGUGAGUUAUAACAGCUAAAUCAUCUCCAGAAGGCUACAGAGUUAAAUGUAUGGAUGCAACUCGAACUGUAAGUGUAAGUGGCGGACCAUUUUAAAUCAAUAAAAGCUUUUUCAAAUCAU